UACGGAGGAUGCGAGCGUUAUCCGGAUUUAUUGGGUUUAAAGGGUGCGUAGGCGGACGCUUAAGUCAGCGGUAAAAUUGCGGGGCCCAACCUCGUCGAGCCGUUGAAACUGGGUGCCUUGAGUGGGCGAGAAGUACGCGGAAUGCGUGGUGUAGCGGUGAAAUGCAUAGAUAUCACGCAGAACUCCGAUUGCGAAGGCAGCGUACCGGCGCCCAACUGACGCUGAAGCACGAAGGCGUGGGUAUCGAACAGG
rnacentral:rRNA from 1 species